UACGUAGGGGGCCAGCGUUGUCCGAAGUUACUGGGCGUAAAGAGCGCGUAGGCGGGUCUUUAAGUGAGGGGUGAAAGGUUCAGGGCUCAACCCGAACACUGCCUUUCAUACUGGGGACCUUGAGUGCGGGAGAGGCGAGUGGAAUUCUUGGUGUAGCGGUGAAAUGCGUAGACAUCAAGAGGAACACCCAUGGCGAAGGCAGCUCGCUGGCCUGCAACUGACGCUGAGGCGCGAAAGCUGGGGGAGCAAACAGG
rnacentral:rRNA from 1 species